ACUCAAAUGAAUUGACGGGGACCUGCACAAGCGGUGGAGCAUGUGGUUUAAUUCGACGAUAAGCGAGGAACCUUACCAAGGCUUGACAUGUAGCUGCAUCUUCUGGAAACAGAAGCGCCUUCGAGGGUGCUACACAGGUGCUGCACGGUUGUCGUCAGCUCGUGCCGUGAGGUGUUCACUUAAGUGUGAAAACGAGCGCAACCCCUAUCAUGAGUUACAAGUGUCUCAUGAAACUGCCGGCGUCUAAGCCGGAGGAAGGCGGGGAUGACGUCAAAUCAGCGUGGCUCUUACGCCUUGGGCGACACACGUGCUACAAUGGGAUGGAACAAAGGGACGCCAAAGCGCAAGCUGGAGCAAAUCCUAGAAAAACAUCUCUCAGUUCGGAUUGAGGGCUGCAACUCGCCCUCAUGAAGCUGGAAUCGCUAGUAACCGUAGAUCAGCCUCGCUACGGUGAAUACGUUCUCAGGUUUUGUACACACCGCCCGU
rnacentral:rRNA from 1 species